rnacentral:rRNA from 1 species
CAUGCAAGUCGAACGGGUUGCUAUUCUGUAGCAAUACAGAGUAGCGCUAGUGGCGAACGGGUGAGUAAUAUAAAGGUAACCUACCUCAGAGUGGAGCAUAAUUCCGCGAAAGCGGAACUAAUUCUCCAUAUAAUCCUGUUGCAUAAGUGACAGGAUGAAAGGCUUCGGUCGCUCUGAGAGGGGCUUUUAGCCUAUCAGCUUGUUGGUGAGGUGACGGCCCACCAAGGCGAUGACGGGUAGGGGGUGUGAGAGCAUGACCCCCCACAUGGGAACUGCGACACGGUCCCAACUCCUACGGGAGGCAGCAGUCUAGAAAUUUGGGCAAUGGGCGAAAGCCUGACCCAGCGACGCCGCGUGAGGGAUGAAGUCCUUCGGGAUGUAAACCUUUGUUGAGGGGGACGAUUAUGACG